UAUCAUCGUCGUCUGGAUUUGAUUCUCGGAGAAGAAGAUCGAGAUUCCCAACGCCGGCAGGAGGACCGAUGCUACAUCGUGCAGUGAGGUGUGUCGCAAUGGCUUCUUUUAUUUUUUUGAACUGAAAAUUCAAUCACACAUAUUGAUUUCUCGAUUUCUUUUUGACAUUAACAUUGAAAUUUGAAAGUAAACCUAAUUACCUUUGGGAGUGAGCAUGAAAAGGCAUCUAAGAGACCAUCAGCACCACGGUAGAAAUGGAAAUAAGGAAGAACCUUGACAUUCAAUCGUCUGCACAUUGGUUUGUUCGCAUCGAAAUCGACUUUCACAAACAAGAGAUCGGAAUGUUGCUGCCCAACCGUUUUGCAAAGCUAACAGAUUCAACUAAAACAAGCUGAGCAUCUAACUUACUUUGAUUACAAAUCACAAAUCACUCGUUCGCUCACCCUUGGAAAGAUUGCACGGCAAGAGGCACACCAAGUUCCAUAAAAUUCAACCAAGACGAGCUUAUCUCCUGCCUCACACAGCGCGUUCAAGAAUUCCUCCGUCGACCUCACAUCGAUCGUGUUUGCAGGAGCGUUUCGUUCCCACCACUUGGGUCGGUCGCUUCUAUCAACUGCCUGAAUUAUAUAAUAAAACCAAAAUAACCCAAAUUCAUAAAAAUAACCCGAAAUCCGAAGAUGAUCCAAUUAAAUUUCUUUCCAAUUUCCAGUUUAAAACCCCCAUCACAUUCACAGACCUUUAUCGACCUAAAUCUCCGAGGAAGACGGUGAGAAACCGAACCAGAAGGACCGCUAAACACAGACUGCAAGGAGGAGAACGAGAACGGCGAUGGAGAGGAUGGAAACAGUAGUUGCUGGGGAGAAUGCUUGAGGAGAGAAGAGAACCCAACUACAAGCAAUCGAUUGGUCAUUGUGGGAAUUGGAAACAAGAGAUGGAU
rnacentral:lncRNA from 1 species